rnacentral:rRNA from 1 species
ACGUAGGACACAAGCGUUAUCCGGAGUUACUGGGCGUAAAGGGCGCGUAGGCGGCGUGACAAGUCACUUGUGAAAUCUCCGGGCUUAACUCGGAACGGUCAAGUGAUACUGUCGUGCUAGAGUACAGAAGGGGCAACUGGAAUUCUCGGUGUAGCGGUGAAAUGCGUAGAUAUCGAGAGGAACACCUGCGGCGAAGGCGGCUUCCUGGACUGACACUGACGCUGAGGCGCGAAAGCUAGGGGAGCAAACGGG